rnacentral:rRNA from 1 species
GGAGUUAGCCGGUGCUUCUUCUGUGAGUGAUGUCCUUCCUGCCGGCUAUUAACCCGCAGGCCUUCUUCCUCACUGAAAGUGCUUUACAACCCGAAGGUCUUCUUCACACACGCGGCAUGGCUGGAUCAGGGUUGCCCCCAUUGUCCAAUAUUCCCCACUGCUGCCUCCCGUAGGAGUCUGGGCCGUGUCUCAGUCCCAGUGUGGCUGAUCAUCCUCUCAGACCAGCUACGGAUCGUCGCCUUGGUGAGCCGUUACCUCACCAACCAGCUAAUCCGACAUAGGCUCAUCCGAUAGCGCGAGGCCCGAAGGUCCCCCGCUUUCCCCCGUAGGGCGUAUGCGGUAUUAGCCUGGGUUUCCCCAGGUUAUCCCCCACUACCGGGCAGAUUCCUAUGCAUUACUCACCCGUCCGCCGCUCGCCACCAGGGAGCAAGCUCCCCGUGCUGCCGCUCGACUUGCAUGUGUUAGGCCUGCCGCCAGCGUUCAAUCUGAGCCAGGAUCAAACUCUGA